rnacentral:tRNA from 1 species
GGGGUGAGGCUCAGUGGCAGAGAAUCUGCCUGGCAUGCACCAGGCCCUGGGUUCCAUCCCCAGCACCACA